rnacentral:rRNA from 1 species
AGUGAACGCUGGCGGUAGGCCUAACACAUGCAAGUCGAACGGCAGCACAGUAAGAGCUUGCUCUUACGGGUGGCGAGUGGCGGACGGGUGAGGAAUACAUCGGAAUCUACUUUUUCGUGGGGGAUAACGUAGGGAAACUUACGCUAAUACCGCAUACGACCUACGGGUGAAAGCAGGGGAUCUUCGGACCUUGCGCGAUUGAAUGAGCCGAUGUCGGACUAGCUAGUUGGCGGGGUAAAGGCCCACCAAGGCGACGAUCCGUAGCUGGUCUGAGAGGAUGAUCAGCCACACUGGAACUGAGACACGGUCCAGACUCCUACGGGAGGCAGCAGUGGGGAAUAUUGGACAAUGGGCGCAAGCCUGAUCCAGCCAUACCGCGUGGGUGAAGAAGGCCUUCGGGUUGUAAAGCCCUUUUGUUGGGGAAGAAAAGCAGCAGGUUAAUACCCCGCUGUUCUGACGGUACCCAAAGAAUAAGCACCGGCUAACUUCGUG